UACGGAGGGUGCGAGCGUUAUCCGGAAUUAUUGGGUUUAAAGGGUGCGUAGGCGGCCUUUUAAGUCAGUGGUGAAAGCCCCCGGCUCAACCGGGGAAGUGCCAUUGAAACUGGAAGGCUUGAGUAUGGUGAAGGCAGGCGGAAUUCGUGGUGUAGCGGUGAAAUGCAUAGAUACCACGAAGAACACCGAUAGCGUAGGCAGCUUGCUGUACCAUUACUGACGCUGAGGCACGAAAGCGUGGGGAGCGAACAGG
rnacentral:rRNA from 1 species